rnacentral:tRNA from 1 species
GGGCCCGUAGCUCAGCCAGGUAGAGCGGCGGGCUCUUAACCCGUAGACCAGAAAGGGCGGAGGUCCCGGGUUCAAAUCCCGGCGGGCCCGCCA